rnacentral:rRNA from 1 species
CCUACGGGUGGCUGCAGUAGGGAAUAUUGGGCAAUGGGGGCAACCCUGACCCAGCCAUGCCGCGUGAAGGACGAAGGCGCUCAGCGUUGUAAACUUCUUUUACCAGGGAAGAACGAGCAGGGUGCGCCCUGCUGUGCCGGUACCUGGGGAAUCAGCACCGGCUAACUCCGUGCCAGCAGCCGCGGUAAUACGGAGGGUGCGAGCGUUGUCCGGAUUUAUUGGGUUUAAAGGGUGCGUAGGUGGUUCUGUAAGUCUGGUUUGAAAGCUGGUCGCUC